ensembl:lncRNA
CAGAGUUCAUCCCACACUACGUUAUCAACAAAGCUCGACGAAGCCAUGCUAGCGCAGUGGAACGACCUGCUAUUUGUAGCGAUUAUUAAGUGUUUACACUGCUUAAAGUCUUUUUAAGGCAAUAUGCCAGGUCCCACAGUUCAGUGCGGGACUGCCACAACGGUACCCGUGGGCUAAAGAAGUGGAUGGAAGAGUUUUGCCCUAUUCACGAGUGCAAUAAAGGAACCUCGCGCUGUAUAUGUGACCCGCCUUAUGUACUCGUCACAUUUCCUACUGAAAGAAAAGAUCCAGAAUGUCGUGCCGAAUGGAUUAAAUUAAUGGCGUGAAAACAGAAACAAGAAGUAUACCGGCUCACUGGGCUGCAUACACAAUUACACACUGCGUCGUACGAUUGAGACAAGGAAACUUGGAAUGACUUUUCAUAGGUUUCCCAGAGACUAUGGGUUGAGGAGGAAUUGGAAGUUUGUCGGCUUAGACCUGUGUCAUUCCAUCAGUGUUAAACUUCCCGGCUCAUCUUUGAAGAGUACGUGCCAGAAAGACCACGACCAAGCAGCCUUGAGAUCUUAGGCAGCGUCUCCCUGAGACCAAAGAACUACAGACUCUUCACAACCUGCUCAAACUCUUGGUACAGGACCUCACCACACGGGUCAAGAAGGUUUCCAUCUCAUUUCUACUCUGAAGCUCACCUUCUCCUGCUCAAACUGCUGACAAAUGUUUCUGCUGCUCUAAAGUCUGGUCUCCAGAACUUCCUAAAAACUCUCAAAUCUCUUCUGCUGCAGGUUGCUUUGUAGAACUGUUGCAGAAAACCUCACUAAACCACAUGGAGGGGCCUCAAGAUAGUCGUCCAAAUGAAACCAUACAAAAACCAAACUAGUACAACCCAAACGCUAAAGUCUCCUGCAGCCUACCAGAGAACCUCUGAGAACAGAGGAUCAGGACAGGAACUCUUACCUUCUGGACAACCACCGCUGGUUCACAAACAAGAAUACAGACUGUGUCUGACCAAAAACCUCUGAAGACUCACUACAGCCAAGAUAAAGACAACACAGCUGCACCAAAUCCGCUAAUCACUGCACACAUUAGCACCAUGUGCUAACUGUGGCUAAAGAACCUCAUUUACCAAGACAACGAUCCAGUACAAAGCCCUAAACCACACCAAGAAACACAGUAAAGACGAUUUUACUGCUGGAAGCUGCAAGCCAACGCCUAAAGAACAAACUAAAGCAAUGGAGCCAAACCCAGUUCACUGGUGAAGAGAAUCAGAGGAAAGGUUUGUCUACAGCUAAAUAAAGCAGGAAGACACUGAGCUGCUCAGGUGUUCCUGAUAAAACCAAGCAGCCACCUGGACAGCCAAUAGGAACACAGCUUCCUGGAAGUCCAGAGGGCUGGGUUAGUGAAGGAAAUUUAAUUUGAAGUUGAAGCAGAAAGUUAACAAAGAAAGUUGAAAACCACCUUCUGAUCCCUGAAAUCUCUGAGUUUUCACACAAAGAACACCUGAACAUGUCAAACUGGUUCCAUAGUAGAACCAUCAUUGUAAAAACGUCAUAGUAUGGUGUGUUGCUCAAAAAACAUUAGGACCCGGCUGUCAGGGGACAAACAUGUAAGAAACAUGAGAACAGAGAGAACCCAACCAGUAGGUCACAGUUUAUCAUCCCCCAGUCAUCUCCUGAAGUCCAUAUGGUGAGAGACAUCAGUAUCUGGUUGUUAAUUUACCAGAGGAUGCUUAUAAUCAUGAUGAUGUGGUCUGUACUCUACAGUAUUUUAGUGACUCAAUACAUGCCUAAGUUGUUUUUUUUAAAAUGCUUUUUAGUUUUUAAUAAACAUUUAAUAGCCUAUAUGUAAUCAAUAAAUGGCCUUUGCCUAUCUUAAGAAAAACUCACUCAGAAAUCUGAUAUGUUAACAGUACUAAAUAAAUCAAUAAAUACAUGCAUACACACAAAAAUAAGUUAAUACAUUAACUGUGUUAAGAUAAGAUUUAGAUUUUUUUAAAAAAGUUGUUUAUGUUUUUGCACAAUCCAGUAUUGCUCACUGGUUGGUCAUUACAUUUUGUUUAGUUUGAUUUCACUGUUUAAAAUGAUGCCACCUCUUUUCAGACAGAACCUGUGAUAAUAAAACAAUACAAAAUUUUUAGUUCCGUGUUAAUAAAGCACUUAAAGCUUUAAGUAUGGCUAAAUGCUUUUUUCAGAAUUAAAUAUAUCACUCCUUAGGUGGUAGUGGCCCCAAGUUCAGUAAAGUUGGAAAGAUAUUCACAGAUUCAGACUUCCAGCAUCAAUAACUCAUUAGAUAUAGGUUGUCAAAACAUAAACGGUGCCUCUUUCCCAUUGUUGCAAGGCAGACAAUGUGCUACAAGCCCAGUUUUAUCAAAAGUAGCUGUCUUUCAAGCUACAGGAAUAACAUUGGUGUCUAUGGAGUGAACAGGGUCCGUCUGCAAUUUGCAAAACCGCUGCAACAGUAAAGAGAGACAAAUAUUCAAUAACUUCACUCUUAUACAUUGUAGUGUCACUAAAAUCACUGCAGCCUUCAACUGGCUCCUGUUGACAAAGUGUUUUAACAGAAAUGUAAAUGCUGUAAUUUGAUUCUUUUAAUGAACCAUGUAACUUGAAUGGAUGUGAUGCUGGUGUGACCACAGUGCACACGUCUGAUGUUGCUCACAGUGGUCCAAGGGACGCUCAGGGAGUUUGUGUGUUUGCUCAGACUCAGGAAAAAUUACAGGGAACAUUGGUCCUCGCCUUACUAUGUGAAGUGUCUAGAGAUGAUACAUGUUGUGAAUUAGUGCUAUAUAAAUACAACUCAAUUGAAAUUAAAUUAAAGUGUAUCGUUUCUAUAUUUUAGAUUAUCCUUGAUGGCAUAAAAAAGGGUGGAAAAGGUACAUACUACAUACUAUUGUUUUAACCAGACGGAUGAACAAUUUGUUCUCACAGGCCAUCGCUCUAAUAAACAAUUAAAUCUAUAAUGACAGAAACAACUAUUUUUGUAUGAUUAACAACUCAUAACCACUGUAAAUACUGUAUAUUACAUAACUGUUAAUAUUUCAUUCUACAAACAUCGCUCUCUGCUCCAUUGCACUAUUGCAUUGAAAGUGUCAGUAAUCCUGCAUUUAUUGUUAACCUUAUCUAUUCCUAUCAUCAAAAUCUGCACAAUUUACACUAAAUGUUUGGUUCAGUGUAAACAUGUUCUUUUACACAUAUCUUUGGCUGUGAUAUUAAUCGAUAAACACUUACGUUCCUUUCUUUAAUCUGUGGGCCUGGUUUAAAUUCAUGUGUGCUUUUUGGUGUGAAUACUUUGACAGCAAAGAAAACAUUUUUUAUUCAUUGUACGUGUGCAUGUACUUGGCCAAUAAAGAACACCUGCCAUUG